GCACCUCAUAAAGCGGGUGCCGGGAUUGGCGUCCUGGAAUUGUUAUCGGCGACAAAUGCUGACGCGCUCAUGCGGUUUUUU
rnacentral:sRNA from 1 species